rnacentral:rRNA from 1 species
GAUGAACGCUAGCGGCAGGCCUAAUACAUGCAAGUCGGACGGGAUAGGAGAGCUUGCUUUCCUUGAGAGUGGCGCACGGGUGCGUAACACGUAUGCAACCUACCUUUGUCAGGGGGAUAGCCUCUCGAAAGAGAGAUUAAGACCGCAUAACAUUAUUGAGUGGCAUCAUUUAAUAAUCAAAUAUUUAUAGGACAAAGAUGGGCAUGCGGAACAUUAGCUAGUUGGUAAGGUAACGGCUUACCAAGGCUACGAUGUUUAGGGGAUCUGAGAGGAUCGACCCCCACACUGGUACUGAGACACGGACCAGACUCC